rnacentral:rRNA from 1 species
AGUGAACGCUGGCGGUAGGCCUAACACAUGCAAGUCGAACGGCAGCACAGUAAGAGCUUGCUCUUACGGGUGGCGAGUGGCGGACGGGUGAGGAAUACAUCGGAAUCUACUUUUUCGUGGGGAUAACGUAGGGAAACUUACGCUAAUACCGCAUACGACCUACGGGUGAAAGCCGGGGAUCUUCGGACCUUGCGCGGUUGAAUGAGCCGAUGUCGGAUUAGCUAGUUGGCGGGGUAAAGGCCCACCAAGGCGACGAUCCGUAGCUGGUCUGAGAGGAUGAUCAGCCACACUGGAACUGAGACACGGUCCAGACUCCUACGGGAGGCAGCAGUGGGGAAUAUUGGACAAUGGGCGCAAGCCUGAUCCAGCCAUACCGCGUGGGUGAAGAAGGCCUUCGGGUUGUAAAGCCCUUUUGUUGGGAAAGAAAAGCAGCAGGUUAAUACCCCGCUGUUCUGACGGUACCCAAAGAAUAAGCACCGGCUAACUUCGUG